rnacentral:rRNA from 1 species
AGAGUUUGAUCCUGGCUCAGGAUGAACGCUAGCUACAGGCUUAACACAUGCAAGUCGAGGGGCAGCGGGAUUGUAGCAAUACAAUUGCCGGCGACCGGCGCACGGGUGAGUAACACGUAUCCAACCUUCCGGUUACUCGGGGAUAGCCUUUCGAAAGAAAGAUUAAUACCCGAUGGUAUAAAUUUUCCGCAUGGUUUGUUUAUUAAAGAUUCAUCGGUAACCGAUGGGGAUGCGUUCCAUUAGAUGGUAGGCGGGGUAACGGCCCACCUAGUCGACGAUGGAUAGGGGUUCUGAGAGGAAGGUCCCCCACAUUGGAACUGAGACACGGUCCAAACUCCUACGGGAGGCAGCAGUGAGGAAUAUUGGUCAAUGGGCGAGAGCCUGAACCAGCCAAGUAGCGUGAAGGAUGACUGCCCUAUGGGUUGUAAACUUCUUUUAUACGGGAAUAACACGCGGCACGUGUGCCGCUCUGCAUGUACCGUAUGAAUAAGCAUCGGCUAACUCCGUGCCAGCAGCCGCGGU